UGGCAGGUAAACAUGUUGGCAGGUAAAUGUGUUUGCAGGUAAACAUGUUAGCAGGUGAACAUGUUGGCAGGUAAACGUGUUGACAGGUAAACAUGUUGGCAG